UUGAAGAGUUUGAUCAUGGCUCAGAUUGAACGCUGGCGGCAGGCCUAACACAUGCAAGUCGAGCGGUAGCACAGAGAGCUUGCUCUCGGGUGACGAGCGGCGGACGGGUGAGUAAUGUCUGGGAAACUGCCUGAUGGAGGGGGAUAACUACUGGAAACGGUAGCUAAUACCGCAUAACGUCGCAAGACCAAAGUGGGGGACCUUCGGGCCUCAUGCCAUCAGAUGUGCCCAGAUGGGAUUAGCUAGUAGGUGGGGUAACGGCUCACCUAGGCGACGAUCCCUAGCUGGUCUGAGAGGAUGACCAGCCACACUGGAACUGAGACACGGUCCAGACUCCUACGGGAGGCAGCAGUGGGGAAUAUUGCACAAUGGGCGCAAGCCUGAUGCAGCCAUGCCGCGUGUGUGAAGAAGGCCUUCGGGUUGUAAAGCACUUUCAGCGGGGAGGAAGGCGUUAAGGUUAAUAACCUUGGCGAUUGACGUUACCCGCAGAAGAAGCACCGGCUAACUCCGUGCCAGCAGCCGCGGUAAUACGGAGGGUGCAAGCGUUAAUCGGAAUUACUGGGCGUAAAGCGCACGCAGGCGGUCUGUCAAGUCGGAUGUGAAAUCCCCGGGCUCAACCUGGGAACUGCAUUCGAAACUGGCAGGCUAGAGUCUUGUAGAGGGGGGUAGAAUUCCAGGUGUAGCGGUGAAAUGCGUAGAGAUCUGGAGGAAUACCGGUGGCGAAGGCGGCCCCCUGGACAAAGACUGACGCUCAGGUGCGAAAGCGUGGGGAGCAAACAGGAUUAGAUACCCUGGUAGUCCACGCCGUAAACGAUGUCGAUUUGGAGGUUGUGCCCUUGAGGCGUGGCUUCCGGAGCUAACGCGUUAAAUCGACCGCCUGGGGAGUACGGCCGCAAGGUUAAAACUCAAAUGAAUUGACGGGGGCCCGCACAAGCGGUGGAGCAUGUGGUUUAAUUCGAUGCAACGCGAAGAACCUUACCUGGUCUUGACAUCCACAGAACUUUCCAGAGAUGGAUUGGUGCCUUCGGGAACUGUGAGACAGGUGCUGCAUGGCUGUCGUCAGCUCGUGUUGUGAAAUGUUGGGUUAAGUCCCGCAACGAGCGCAACCCUUAUCCUUUGUUGCCAGCGGUCCGGCCGGGAACUCAAAGGAGACUGCCAGUGAUAAACUGGAGGAAGGUGGGGAUGACGUCAAGUCAUCAUGGCCCUUACGACCAGGGCUACACACGUGCUACAAUGGCAUAUACAAAGAGAAGCGACCUCGCGAGAGCAAGCGGACCUCAUAAAGUAUGUCGUAGUCCGGAUUGGAGUCUGCAACUCGACUCCAUGAAGUCGGAAUCGCUAGUAAUCGUAGAUCAGAAUGCUACGGUGAAUACGUUCCCGGGCCUUGUACACACCGCCCGUCACACCAUGGGAGUGGGUUGCAAAGAAGUAGGUAGCUUAACCUUCGGGAGGGCGCUUACCACUUUGUGAUUCAUGACUGGGGUGAAGUCGUAACAAGGUAACCGUAGGGGAACCUGCGGUUGGAUCACCUCCUU
rnacentral:rRNA from 1 species